AAGAUCUUUAGGGGCGGGGUGUAAUUCCCCACCGGCGGUAUAGUCCGCUAAGGCUUUUGCCUUGAUUCGGUGAAAUUCCGAAACCGACAGUUAUAGUCUGGAUAGGAUAGAGAUCAC
rnacentral:ncRNA from 2 species